rnacentral:rRNA from 1 species
AUUGAACGCUGGCGGCAGGCCUAACACAUGCAAGUCGAGCGGUAGCACAGAGAGCUUGCUCUCGGGUGACGAGCGGCGGACGGGUGAGUAAUGUCUGGGAAACUGCCUGAUGGAGGGGGAUAACUACUGGAAACGGUAGCUAAUACCGCAUAACGUCGCAAGACCAAAGUGGGGGACCUUCGGGCCUCAUGCCAUCAGAUGUGCCCAGAUGGGAUUAGCUAGUAGGUGGGGUAAUGGCUCACCUAGGCGACGAUCCCUAGCUGGUCUGAGAGGAUGACCAGCCACACUGGAACUGAGACACGGUCCAGACUCCUACGGGAGGCAGCAGUGGGGAAUAUUGCACAAUGGGCGCAAGCCUGAUGCAGCCAUGCCGCGUGUGUGAAGAAGGCCUUCGGGUUGUAAAGCACUUUCAGCGGGGAGGAAGGCGGUGAGGUUAAUAACCUUGUCGAUUGACGUUACCCGCAGAAGAAGCACCGGCUAACUCCGUGCCAGCAGCCGCGGUAAUACGGAGGGUGCAAGCGUUAAUCGGAAUUACUGGGCGUAAAGCGCACGCAGGCGGUCUGUCAAGUCGGAUGUGAAAUCCCCGGGCUCAACCUGGGAACUGCAUUCGAAACUGGCAGGCUAGAGUCUUGUAGAGGGGGGUAGAAUUCCAGGUGUAGCGGUGAAAUGCGUAGAGAUCUGGAGGAAUACCGGUGGCGAAGGCGGCCCCCUGGACAAAGACUGACGCUCAGGUGCGAAAGCGUGGGGAGCAAACAGGAUUAGAUACCCUGGUAGUCCACGCCGUAAACGAUGUCGAUUUGGAGGUUGUGCCCUUGAGGCGUGGCUUCCGGAGCUAACGCGUUAAAUCGACCGCCUGGGGAGUACGGCCGCAAGGUUAAAACUCAAAUGAAUUGACGGGGGCCCGCACAAGCGGUGGAGCAUGUGGUUUAAUUCGAUGCAACGCGAAGAACCUUACCUGGUCUUGACAUCCACAGAACUUUCCAGAGAUGGAUUGGUGCCUUCGGGAACUGUGAGACAGGUGCUGCAUGGCUGUCGUCAGCUCGUGUUGUGAAAUGUUGGGUUAAGUCCCGCAACGAGCGCAACCCUUAUCCUUUGUUGCCAGCGGUUAGGCCGGGAACUCAAAGGAGACUGCCAGUGAUAAACUGGAGGAAGGUGGGGAUGACGUCAAGUCAUCAUGGCCCUUACGACCAGGGCUACACACGUGCUACAAUGGCAUAUACAAAGAGAAGCGACCUCGCGAGAGCAAGCGGACCUCAUAAAGUAUGUCGUAGUCCGGAUUGGAGUCUGCAACUCGACUCCAUGAAGUCGGAAUCGCUAGUAAUCGUAGAUCAGAAUGCUACGGUGAAUACGUUCCCGGGCCUUGUACACACCGCCCGUCACACCAUGGGAGUGGGUUGCAAAAGAAGUAGGUAGCUUAACCUUCGGGAGGGCGCUUACCACUUUGUGAUUCAUGACUGGGGUGA